UCCUGGAAGGUACUUGUGGGAGUUCAAAGUGUCCAGCAUCUUGCAGGAGUCACAGAUUUUAAAGCAAGAAGGAACCACUGUGAUGAUCUAGUCUGAUCUCUAUCAUAACAAAGGCCAAAUAACUUCUGUAUUAAGCCCACAACCACUAGUUGAACUAGAGCAUAACUUUGAGAAACAAACCCAAUCUUGAUUUAAAGAUUUCAAGUGGCGGAGACUCUACCUCAUCACUUUGUCUUUCACUUGGACAUCUUAGACCUGAUUUUCUGAACAUCAGCAGAUUCCAGCGAUUUCAAUUCAAGUUGCAGAUGCUCAGCACCUUUGGAAAUCAAAUCCAUAGCAACCAGCUUGUGAGAUGCCUGAAAUAAUCUAUCCAGUUUCAAACUUAUCUUGCUGAUCUGACUCAUCCAAGAAGUUCUGUUGAUGUUAGUAGGAAUAUUCAGAUAAAAGACUAAGGCCUGCUGAACAUCGAAGGAAUGGAGUCUUCAUUUUUCUGCAGACGCAUGCAGUUUUGGGAAGAAGACUGGUAAGUGAAUGGAUUGGUUAAGGUGAAAUCCUGAAAAUACUUUAGGGGUGAAUUUGGGAUGUAGAAGCAAAGAAACCUUGUU